GAUGAACGCUAGCGGCAGGCCUAAUACAUGCAAGCCGAACGGUGUCUUCGGACAUAGUGGCGCACGGGUGCGUAACACGUAUGCAACCUACCUUACAUUGGGGGAUAGCCUUUCGAAAGGGAGAUUAAUACCGCAUAAGACAGUAGCUGGGCAUCCAGCAGCUGUUAAAGAUUUAUCGAUGUAAGCUGGGCAUGCGUCCAAUUAGCUAGUUGGUGAGGUAACGGCUCACCAAGGCAAUGAUUGGUAGGGGAACUGAGAGGUCAAUCCCCCACACUGGCACUGAGAUACGGGCCAGACUCCUACGGGGGGCAGCAGUAGGGAAUAUUGGGCAAUGGACGCAAGUCUGACCCAGCCAUGCCGCGUGCAGGAUGAAGGCGUUAUGCGUUGUAAACUGCUUUUAUACAGGAAGAAACGACUCUUGCGAGAGGCAUUGACGGUACUGUAUGAAUAAGCACCGGCUAACUCCGUGCCAGCCGCCGCCGUAAUAC
rnacentral:rRNA from 1 species